ensembl:ncRNA lncRNA:CR45922 long non-coding RNA:CR45922
UGAAUAACGCAUAUCCCCACUGUUUAAAGAAUAGGUAUCUCGAGAACAAGAACUGAGCCAGAAACGAUAAAUCGAAGACCUUGAACUUUGGUAACAACAAAGGCAUGCAGAAUAGUCCGAACGAAGAAGAAAUGAGCCUGGAAAGAUCAAAAUCGAGAUGGCGAAGGGGCAACAUUACCAGCAUUAAAUCAAGCAGACCAAACCAAAGGUCCAAUGUAGGGCAGACAGAGAAGGACGGCAACAGAAAAAAAAGAGAGGGGAACAGCGAGGGACUCGUCUGGUUAUUAGCAGGAUCGGCAAAGUAUAAAAAACUGGUUGCAGACGAAGCUCAUGAAGAAGUUUCUCAGGCAAGUGCCAUUGACCUACAAGCAAAUGUCGUUGGCUUCUUGUGGAUCGCGAAGAACGCAAGCCAGAGGGAAAGAGAAAGGUAUACCGAGUGUAGAAAGAAUCAGCACAUGAGUGAGGAAAGGGAAAGAGGAAGUGCACAGAGAACCUUAACAUAUUGCGAAUCUAAAAUUAUUCUAAUUAAAUAUUAAACAUUGUGUACAACUUGGUGUG